rnacentral:rRNA from 1 species
GAUGAACGCUGGCGGCGUGCCUAAUACAUGCAAGUCGAGCGAAUGGAUUAAGAGCUUGCUCUUAUGAAGUUAGCGGCGGACGGGUGAGUAACACGUGGGUAACCUGCCCAUAAGACUGGGAUAACUCCGGGAAACCGGGGCUAAUACCGGAUAACAUUUUGAACCGCAUGGUUCGAAAUUGAAAGGCGGCUUCGGCUGUCACUUAUGGAUGGACCCGCGUCGCAUUAGCUAGUUGGUGAGGUAACGGCUUACCAAGGCAACGAUGCGUAGCCGACCUGAGCGGGUGGUCGGCGACACUGAGACGGAGACACGGCCCAGACUCCUACGGGAGGCAGCAGUAGGGAAUCUUCCGCAAUGGACGAAAGUCUGACGGAGCAACGCCGCGUGAGUGAUGAAGGCUUUCGGGUCGUAAAACUCUGUUGUUAGGGAAGAACAAGUGCUAGUUGAAUAAGCUGGCACCUUGACGGUACCUAACCAGAAAGCCACGGCUAACUACGUGCCAGCCGCCGCCGUAA